AACCGCGUUAAUCGAAACGGCUUGAACCGGGCAAAAGUCGUAACAAGGUUUCCGUAGGUGAACCUGCGGAAGGAUCAUUA
rnacentral:rRNA from 1 species